AAUAAAUUUAUAAAAAAAUUAUAUAAUGCUCCAUAGUUCCCAGAGCCAUCUCACUUAUAGUCUGUCUUAAUUCUCAGGGCAAUUUAUAAGGUCGAUAUUAUUAUUAUCAUCUUUAUUUAUACAUGAAGAUACUAAGGAUCAGAGGCGGUGCCUCAUUCAGUGUCACUUGGCUGCUCUGUGAUAAAGUAGGAUGGGAAGCUGAAUUCAACCCCCCACCCCCCAAAAAAAAGUUACGUUCAACUGCUAAUUCCCAGCAUCUCACAAUAUGACCUUAUUUGGAAAUAGGUUUGUUUGUUGCAGGUUUAAUUAGUUAAGAUGAGACCAUAGAUGGGCCCUUAAUGCAAUAUGAAUGGUGUUCUUAUAGGAAGAGAAGAGAGACACAGAGGGCACAUGACCAUGUAGAGACACAGAGACACAGGUAGAAGUCCAGGUGAAGAUGGAGGCAGAGACCAGAGUGAUGCCUAUACAAGCCAAGGAAUGCCAAGGAUUGCUGGAUAUCACCAGAAGCUAGGACCAGUACGCAACAGAUUCUCCAUCAUAGCCCUUAGAAGGAAUCUGCUUGGACUCACGAACCUCCAGAAUGGGUUUCCUGUAAGGCCCCAAACUUAAGGAGAGCAGAAAACUUCCCCCAUGCUUUUAAAAGAGUGACAGGGGUCUGGCAGACAUGCUAUUAAUGGCUAUCUAAGGUAAUCUAUUAAUCCUGUUACUAUCACCAUACAUCCCUACCCCCUCCAACCAUCCUAUAUAAAGUGAAGAUACACUUUUGAAGGGGCCUCACCCAAUAGUAUAUUAACAUGGGGAAUUUGGGCCUCAUGCAAAAUUAUGUGGCAUUCUCAUCUCCAGAUCCAAUGAAUAAAGUUCCAAGAAAACUGUCAUAGAGUUUUUUUUUGUUUUUUGUUUUGUUUUGUUUUGUUUUGUUUUUUGGUGUGUAUGUGUGGGAUGCUUCAAGAAAGGGAGGCUGACAGCUCUUUGGCUGGAUGCUGGUUGAGCUCUGAAGCAUGGCAUUCCAGUUUUGCCCCCAGAACUUUACACUUUGAGGCUGGAGUUUAGGGACAUUCUGAAUAUACAGAGUAAGGCGUAAUUACAUCCUGGAGAAUUCUGGAGGUGGGAGGUGAAUGGUACAGCCUGCACUGGCUGCAAGAAGAAAAAGGAGGAAAGAGCGUUUGACCUACAAUUCCUUUGCUGCGGAAGGCGGUCGAGCUUGAGCCGUUAUUUUAGUCAGUUUGGGCUACUAUAACAGAAUAGCAUAGACUAGGAGGCUUAAAAGAAAUUUAUUUCUCACAGUUCUAGAGACUGGGAAGUCUGGGAUCAGGGAGCCAUGCCAUGCUAGGGUCCUGGUAAGAUAAAUCUCUCUGCCUUACAAAUGGCCAUCUUCUUGUUAUGUUUUCACAUGGCUGAGACCAAAGACAGGAAGCAAGCUCUCUCUUGUCUCUUCUUAUAAGGGUAAUAAUUCCAUGGGAGGGUUAGGGUUUCAACAUAUGUAUUUUGGUAGAAUACAAACAUGUAGUCGGUGACAAUCAUCUAAAAGGAAUCUUCUCAAGAAGUCAGGGCAUGGCAAGGGGACUCAACUGUGGGAGGUACCAUGGGGGGCAGGAAUUAAGGAUGGGCUAAAGAGAACCAAAAAGCCCAUUAUCCUCUCCAGGAACUUAGCAGUACAGUGUUUCGUCUAGUAAUUCUGAAGAAUCCACACAUGUGUCCCACAAAAAAAUAACAUGUGAAUGGGAGCAAUGCGGAAGUGGCCACCUGGUGUCAGGCAAGGGGGAAACAAACUGGUGAUCAUCUAAGAAAAAAAAAAAAACAAAUUUGCUCCUUUCUUUAAUUAAUUUUU